AUUGAACGCUGGCGGCACGCCUAACACAUGCAAGUCGAGCGGUAGCAGUGGUAGUAGCAAUACUAUCAGCUGACGAGCGGCGGACGGGUGAGUAACACGUAGGAACCUGACUUUCAGAGGGGGAUAACCAAGGGAAACUUUGGCUAAUACCGCAUACACUCGAGAGAGGAAAGCUGCCCGCGAGGGUGGCGUUGGAAGAGGGGCCUGCGUCCGAUUAGCUAGUUGGUGAGGUAAAGGCUCACCAAAGCGAUGAUCGGUAACUGGUCUGAGAGGACGACCAGUCACACUGGGACUGAGACACGGCCCAGACUCCUACGGGAGGCAGCAGUGGGGGAUAUUGGACAAUGGGGGCAACCCUGAUCCAGCGAUGCCGCGUGGGUGAAGAAGGCCUUCGGGUUGUAAAGCCCUUUAGGUUGGGAAGAAGGUAUAGAGAGGAUAAUUCUCUAUGCUUGACGGUACUAACAGAAUAAGCACCGGCAAACUCUGUGCCAGCCGCCGCAGUAAGAC
rnacentral:rRNA from 1 species